UCAAAAGGAGAGGACACCCUGCCCUUACAGUGGAGAACCUUUCCCUGGUGAUCACAUGACCACUAGAAAGAAACCGAGUAGACAAGAAACAGAUUUCCUGUGUAAAAAACCCCAAGAAAAUAAUACUGAAGAAAUCAAAGAUUAUAAAAACAAAUUAUAGUUUCUAGUUCCUGUUUAUGGCUUCUUACUCCAGUCUGGUUCCCUACUGCUCCUCUCGGGGUAAAAAUCAUCUUAUUUCUUAUUAUUUAUAUGGAAACCCUUCUGCUUUUCACAUGACAACCUUCAUUUUAUUAUCCCUGUUGGUAAAAGCUGCUAAUGAAGAUGAUCUGAUUUGUCCUUACAGAACAACUUCAGGUUCCAUGCUGAGGAUGUCAAACUCUGAGCUUUCCAAAGCAGCUGCCUUCUUAAAAUAG
rnacentral:lncRNA from 1 species